CCGGCAGAGUCCAACCAAACUCUUGUAUUAAACCAGUCGUCUGAGUAUAAAAUUUUAAUUAAAUUAAAACUUUCAACAACGGAUCUCUUGGUUCUCGCAUCGAUGAAGAACGCAGCGAAAUGCGAUAAGUAAUGUGAAUUGCAGAAUUCAGUGAAUCAUCGAAUCUUUGAACGCACAUUGCGCCCCUUGGUAUUCCGAGGGGCAUGCCUGUUCGAGCGUCAUUACACCACUCAAGCACUGCUUGGUAUUGGGCAUCGUCCGUCGAAAGGCGGGCGUGCCUCGAAGACCUCGGCGGGGUUUCACCAACUUCGGGCGUAGUAGAGUUAAAUCAAAACGUCUUAUAAGCUUGGUGGGGCCUCAUUGCCGUUAAACCUUUUAUUUUUCAGGUUGACCUCGGAUCAGGUAGGGAUACCCGCUGAACUUAAGCAUAUCAAUAAGCGGAGGAAAAGAAACCAACAGGGAUUGCCCUAGUAACGGCGAGUGAAGCGGCAAUAGCUCAAAUUUGAAAGCUGGCCUUCUGGUCCGCAUUGUAAUUUGUAGAGGAUGCUUUUAGGCAGCCGCCGGUCUAAGUUCCUUGGAACAGGACGUCAUAGAGGGUGAGAAUCCCGUAUGUGACCGGCUCUGGCACCUUCUGUAAAGCUCCUUCGACGAGUCGAGUUGUUUGGGAAUGCAGCUCUAAAUGGGAGGUAAAUUUCUUCUAAAGCUAAAUACCGGCGAGAGACCGAUAGCGCACAAGUAGAGUGAUCGAAAGAUGAAAAGCACUUUGGAAAGAGAGUUAAAAAGCACGUGAAAUUGUUGAAAGGGAAGCGCUUGCAAUCAGACUUGGCUUCGGUUGUUCAACAGGUCUUCUGACCUGCCUACUCAAUCGGAGCCAGGCCAGCAUCAGUUUCGGCGGCCGGAUAAAGGCCCUAGGAAUGUAG
rnacentral:rRNA from 1 species